AGCGGCGGACGGGUGAGUAACACGUGGGUAACCUGCCCAAGAGACUGGGAUAACACCUGGAAACAGAUGCUAAUACCGGAUAACAACACUAGACGCAUGUCUAGAGUUUGAAAGAUGGUUCUGCUAUCACUCUUGGAUGGACCUGCGGUGCAUUAGCUAGUUGGUAAGGUAACGGCUUACCAAGGCAAUGAUGCAUAGCCGAGUUGAGAGACUGAUCGGCCACAUUGGGACUGAGACACGGCCCAAACUCCUACGGGAGGCAGCAGUAGGGAAUCUUCCACAAUGGACGAAAGUCUGAUGGAGCAACGCCGCGUGAGUGAAGAAGGGUUUCGGCUCGUAAAGCUCUGUUGGUAGUGAAGAAAGAUAGAGGUAGUAACUGGCCUUUAUUUGACGGUAAUUACUUAGAAAGUCACGGCUAACUACGUGCCAGCAGCCGCGGUAAUACGCAGGUGGCAAGCGUUGUCCGGAUUUAUUGGGCGUAAAGCGAGUGCAGGCGGUUCAAUAAGUCUGAUGUGAAAGCCUUCGGCUCAACCGGAGAAUUGCAUCAGAAACUGUUGAACAUGAGUGCAGAAGAGGAGAGUGGAACUCCAUGUGUAGCGGUGGAAUGCGUAGAUAUAUGGAAGAACACCAGUGGCGAAGGCGGCUCUCUGGUCUGCAACUGACGCUGAGGCUCGAAAGCAUGGGUAGCGAACCGGAUUAGAUACCCUGGUAGUCCAUGCCGUAAACGAUGAGUGCUAAGUGU
rnacentral:rRNA from 1 species